AACGAAGUGAAUUGAAAUAUCUUAUUAACUUCAGGAAAAUAAAUCAAAAGAGAUUUUAUUAUUAGUGUGAAUGAAAAUAAAAUAGCCUAUAUUAUUUUUGCCAUUACUAUCCUAAUAAACUAAAAUAGAUGAGGAAUAGCCUUACCGAAAUAAAAUGACUCAUGCUGAUAAAGAUGAAACUGACUAGAGAUGAAAGAGAUUACAGACGAUAAUAGACUUCCAUCAAAUAAUGAAUAUUAUUUGAUGAUUGAUUAAGUAGAACGGAUUAUAUUUGUUUGAAUAUAGGGGACCCUUCCUCUAAGGCUAAAUAUAAUGUAUAAGCAAUAGAAAAAGUACCGUGAGGGAAAUAGAUAAAAAUAGUAGUUCUAUAAGCAGCUCGAGUAUUAAAUAAUAGAAUGUAAGAGCGUACCUUUUGUAUAAUGGGUCAGCAAGUUAAUAUUAUAUGCGAGCUAAAAGCGAAGAUAAACUAAUUAUGACCUACUGAGGAGUAUUUAAUAUUAGACCCGAAGUCUAGUGAUCUUACCAUUAUCAGGAGUAAAGUCCGAACGGGUUAUCGUUGUAAAGAUAUCCGAGGAAUAAUGGUAAGUUAGUGAAAGACAACACUGACUAGAAUAGCUGGUUUUCUACGAAACCUAUAUAAGUAGGCGGUUUUAAUAAUAUCACGGCAGGUACAGCGAUGUAAUCUUAAUAUAUGAUUUAAUACAUUUUAUAUUAUUGCGGGGGCCUGAAAAUCUUACAAUUAAGUAUUUGCACUCGAAAGGGCUUUGAUAAAUAUAUUACUGUCAGACAUAGUACGAUAAGGUUGUAUGUCUAAAGGGAAACAGCCCAGAACAAGAGUUAAUAAGGUUCCUAAAUUAUUGUUAAGUGAAAUGAAGGAAGUGUUUAUCGUAUUCGGCAAGAAAGUGGGCUUAGAAGCGGCCAUCUUUUGAAGACCUCGUAAAAGAGCACUCGCUAUUACAAAUAAGAUAAAGGCACCGAAAAUUUAUCGGAUCUAAACAAUAUACCGAAACCUUGUCCAUAUAUUAUAAUAUACCGAAACCUUGUCCAUAUAUUAUAAUAUAUGGGGUAGUAGAACAUAAGGUAAGUACAAGAUUUUUUCUUUAUAAGAAUUAAAAAAUUAAAAUUGUAAUUGUAUAAUACAUAAUUAUAUGUUAGGUAUUUAUAGAAUUACGUUAGGACAACCUUAGAGAUAAUGCUGACAUGAGUAACGAUAAAGGGAUAUAGUCCCUCGCCUUAAGCUUAUGGGAUUUAAAAUGUAACGGCCUCUAAGUAUUAAUUCUAAAGGAUUAUACGAUGAAAAUAUCUAAAUUAUAAGAUAAAUAACUUUAUAGUGAAUAAAGUUCAGGAAAAAUUUAUAAUUAAAAUAUGUAAUUAAUUGUACCGUACCUAAAGUCUAACACAAGUAAGCUAGUAGAGUAUACGAAGGCGUUUGAGCGAACAAUUAUUAAGGAACUCGGCAAAUUGGCUCCGUAACUUAGGGAGAAGGUGCGCCACUAAUCUUGGUUAAUAACAAGUAAAUAGGAGGAGGCAUAGAAUGGUGUUGUACGACUGUUUAAUUAAAACAAAGCACUUAGCUAAGAAGAUAAUUCGAUGUAGAGAGUGUGAGUUCUGCCAAAUGCCGGCAGGAUAUAGUAUUUUACUUAAUUUAUAAAAUUAGGAAUUGAUAGAUUCCCCGGUCAAUGGCGGCCUUAACUGUGAGGGUCCUAAGGUAGCGGAACACCCUGGCCGUUAAAUGCGGUCUUGCAUGAAUGAUUUAACGAUACAACAGCUGUCUCUAUAAUUGGCUCAGUGAAAUUGGGAUAACUGUGAAGAUACAGUUUACCUCUAGAUAGACGAGAAGACCCUAUGCAGCUUUACUGUGACUAGUUAUAGGGUAUUAUCGGUAAGUUUGAGAGAAUAAGGUAAUUAAUUUAAAGUUGAGACACCUUUACUUUAUUAUUAUACUUUUUACCUUUAAGGUACAAUCGCUAGGGGGCAGUUUAUGCGGGGCACAGAUCCCAUAAAAAGUAACUGGGAACAGGCUUAUUGCGCAAGAGAGUACAAAUUGAGUGCGCAGUUUGGCACCUCGAUGUCGGCUUAGCUUAUCCACAUGAAUGCAGGAAUCAUGAAUGGUCGGACUGUUCGUCCGUUAAAAAGCUACACGAGCUGGGUUAAAUACGUUGUGAGACAGUAUGGUUUCUAUCUUCUAGAGGAAAUUAAAGUAAAAUUAGAAUAGUCCCAUUCUACGAGAGGAACUGGGAAUGUUAACCUAUGGUAUACCUGUUGUU
rnacentral:rRNA from 1 species